rnacentral:ncRNA from 1 species
AUCAUCCAGAGCAGCUGAAGGACUGGCCUAAUGACGCUGCGGCAACCUCCUAUAGGAACGGUGCCAAUUCCAGCAGGAUUUUUACCUGACAGAUGAG